rnacentral:rRNA from 1 species
UUAAGCGACUAAGCGUACACGGUGGAUGCCCUGGCAGUCAGAGGCGAUGAAGGACGUGCUAAUCUGCGAUAAGCGCCGGUAAGGUGAUAUGAACCGUUAUAACCGGCGAUUUCCGAAUGGGGAAACCCAGUGUGACUCGUCACACUAUCAUUAACUGAAUCCAUAGGUUAAUGAGGCGAACCGGGGGAACUGAAACAUCUAAGUACCCCGAGGAAAAGAAAUCAACCGAGAUUCCCCCAGUAGCGGCGAGCGAACGGGGAGGAGCCCAGAGCCUGAAUCAGCAUGUGUGUUAGUGGAAGCGUCUGGAAAGGCGCGCGAUACAGGGUGACAGCCCCGUACACAAAAGCGCAUGUGCUGUGAGCUCGAUGAGUAGGGCGGGACACGUGGUAUCCUGUCUGAAUAUGGGGGGACCAUCCUCCAAGGCUAAAUACUCCUGACUGACCGAUAGUGAACCAGUACCGUGAGGGAAAGGCGAAAAGAACCCCGGCGAGGGGAGUGAAAAAGAACCUGAAACCGUGUACGUACAAGCAGUGGGAGCCCCACCACUAAGCCAGUGGUGAACUCCACAUACGCAUCCUUUGCUGAGGAUACGGUUAACGGAGCGAAAGCGACGUUCAACCGCAAAACAAGCAGAGGGGGCUUAGUGGUGGGGUGACUGCGUACCUUUUGUAUAAUGGGUCAGCGACUUAUAUUCUGUAGCAAGGUUAACCGAAUAGGGGAGCCGGAGGGAAACCGAGUCUUAACCGGGCGUUAAGUUGCAGGGUAUAGACCCGAAACCCGGUGAUCUAGCCAUGGGCAGGUUGAAGGUUGGGUAACACUAACUGGAGGACCGAACCGACUAAUGUUGAAAAAUUAGCGGAUGACCUGUGGCUGGGGGUGAAAGGCCAAUCAAACCGGGAGAUAGCUGGUUCUCCCCGAAAGCUAUUUAGGUAGCGCCUCGUGAAUUCAUCUCCGGGGGUAGAGCACUGUUUCGGCUAGGGGGCCAUCCCGGCUUACCAACCCGAUGCAAACUGCGAAUACCGGAGAAUGUUAUCACGGGAGACACACGGCGGGUGCUAACGUCCGUCGUGAAGAGGGAAACAACCCAGACCGCCAGCUAAGGUCCCAAAGUCAUGGUUAAGUGGGAAACGAUGUGGGAAGGCCCAGACAGCCAGGAUGUUGGCUUAGAAGCAGCCAUCAUUUAAAGAAAGCGUAAUAGCUCACUGGUCGAGUCGGCCUGCGCGGAAGAUGUAACGGGGCUAAACCAUGCACCGAAGCUGCGGCAGCGACACUCAGGUGUUGUUGGGUAGGGGAGCGUUCUGUAAGCCUGUGAAGGUGGCCUGUGAGGGUUGCUGGAGGUAUCAGAAGUGCGAAUGCUGACAUAAGUAACGAUAAAGCGGGUGAAAAGCCCGCUCGCCGGAAGACCAAGGGUUCCUGUCCAACGUUAAUCGGGGCAGGGUGAGUCGACCCCUAAGGCGAGGCCGAAAGGCGUAGUCGAUGGGAAACGGGUUAAUAUUCCCGUACUUGGUGUUACUGCGAAGGGGGGACGGAGAAGGCUAUGUUGGCCGGGCGACGGUUGUCCCGGUUUAAGCGUGUAGGUGUGUGUUCCAGGUAAAUCCGGUUCACUUUAACACUGAGGCGUGACGACGAGGCACUACGGUGCUGAAGCAACAAAUGCCCUGCUUCCAGGAAAAGCCUCUAAGCAUCAGGUAACAUCAAAUCGUACCCCAAACCGACACAGGUGGUCAGGUAGAGAAUACCAAGGCGCUUGAGAGAACUCGGGUGAAGGAACUAGGCAAAAUGGUGCCGUAACUUCGGGAGAAGGCACGCUGACACGUAGGUGAAGUGAUUUACUCAUGGAGCUGAAGUCAGUCGAAGAUACCAGCUGGCUGCAACUGUUUAUUAAAAACACAGCACUGUGCAAACACGAAAGUGGACGUAUACGGUGUGACGCCUGCCCGGUGCCGGAAGGUUAAUUGAUGGGGUCAGCGCAAGCGAAGCUCCUGAUCGAAGCCCCGGUAAACGGCGGCCGUAACUAUAACGGUCCUAAGGUAGCGAAAUUCCUUGUCGGGUAAGUUCCGACCUGCACGAAUGGCGUAAUGAUGGCCAGGCUGUCUCCACCCGAGACUCAGUGAAAUUGAACUCGCUGUGAAGAUGCAGUGUACCCGCGGCAAGACGGAAAGACCCCGUGAACCUUUACUAUAGCUUGACACUGAACAUUGAGCCUUGAUGUGUAGGAUAGGUGGGAGGCUUUGAAGCGUGGACGCCAGUCUGCGUGGAGCCGACCUUGAAAUACCACCCUUUAAUGUUUGAUGUUCUAACGUGGACCCGUGAUCCGGGUUGCGGACAGUGUCUGGUGGGUAGUUUGACUGGGGCGGUCUCCUCCUAAAGAGUAACGGAGGAGCACGAAGGUUGGCUAAUCCUGGUCGGACAUCAGGAGGUUAGUGCAAUGGCAUAAGCCAGCUUGACUGCGAGCGUGACGGCGCGAGCAGGUGCGAAAGCAGGUCAUAGUGAUCCGGUGGUUCUGAAUGGAAGGGCCAUCGCUCAACGGAUAAAAGGUACUCCGGGGAUAACAGGCUGAUACCGCCCAAGAGUUCAUAUCGACGGCGGUGUUUGGCACCUCGAUGUCGGCUCAUCACAUCCUGGGGCUGAAGUAGGUCCCAAGGGUAUGGCUGUUCGCCAUUUAAAGUGGUACGCGAGCUGGGUUUAGAACGUCGUGAGACAGUUCGGUCCCUAUCUGCCGUGGGCGCUGGAGAACUGAGGGGGGCUGCUCCUAGUACGAGAGGACCGGAGUGGACGCAUCACUGGUGUUCGGGUUGUCAUGCCAAUGGCACUGCCCGGUAGCUAAAUGCGGAAGAGAUAAGUGCUGAAAGCAUCUAAGCACGAAACUUGCCCCGAGAUGAGUUCUCCCUGAGACUUAGAGUCUCCUGAAGGAACGUUGAAGACGACGACGUUGAUAGGCCGGGUGUGUAAGCGCAGCGAUGCGUUGAGCUAACCGGUACUAAUGAACCGUGAGGCUUAACCUU